GGUUAAGCGACUAAGCGUACACGGUGGAUGCCCUGGCAGUCAGAGGCGAUGAAGGACGUGCUAAUCUGCGAUAAGCGUCGGUAAGGUGAUAUGAACCGUUAUAACCGGCGAUUUCCGAAUGGGGAAACCCAGUGUGUUUCGACACACUAUCAUUAACUGAAUCCAUAGGUUAAUGAGGCGAACCGGGGGAACUGAAACAUCUAAGUACCCCGAGGAAAAGAAAUCAACCGAGAUUCCCCCAGUAGCGGCGAGCGAACGGGGAGCAGCCCAGAGCCUGAAUCAGUGUGUGUGUUAGUGGAAGCGUCUGGAAAGGCGCGCGAUACAGGGUGACAGCCCCGUACACAAAAAUGCACAUGCUGUGAGCUCGAUGAGUAGGGCGGGACACGUGGUAUCCUGUCUGAAUAUGGGGGGACCAUCCUCCAAGGCUAAAUACUCCUGACUGACCGAUAGUGAACCAGUACCGUGAGGGAAAGGCGAAAAGAACCCCGGCGAGGGGAGUGAAAAAGAACCUGAAACCGUGUACGUACAAGCAGUGGGAGCACGCUUAGGCGUGUGACUGCGUACCUUUUGUAUAAUGGGUCAGCGACUUAUAUUCUGUAGCAAGGUUAACCGAAUAGGGGAGCCGAAGGGAAACCGAGUCUUAACUGGGCGUUAAGUUGCAGGGUAUAGACCCGAAACCCGGUGAUCUAGCCAUGGGCAGGUUGAAGGUUGGGUAACACUAACUGGAGGACCGAACCGACUAAUGUUGAAAAAUUAGCGGAUGACUUGUGGCUGGGGGUGAAAGGCCAAUCAAACCGGGAGAUAGCUGGUUCUCCCCGAAAGCUAUUUAGGUAGCGCCUCGUGAAUUCAUCUCCGGGGGUAGAGCACUGUUUCGGCAAGGGGGUCAUCCCGACUUACCAACCCGAUGCAAACUGCGAAUACCGGAGAAUGUUAUCACGGGAGACACACGGCGGGUGCUAACGUCCGUCGUGAAGAGGGAAACAACCCAGACCGCCAGCUAAGGUCCCAAAGUCAUGGUUAAGUGGGAAACGAUGUGGGAAGGCCCAGACAGCCAGGAUGUUGGCUUAGAAGCAGCCAUCAUUUAAAGAAAGCGUAAUAGCUCACUGGUCGAGUCGGCCUGCGCGGAAGAUGUAACGGGGCUAAACCAUGCACCGAAGCUGCGGCAGCGACGCUUAUGCGUUGUUGGGUAGGGGAGCGUUCUGUAAGCCUGUGAAGGUGUGCUGUGAGGCAUGCUGGAGGUAUCAGAAGUGCGAAUGCUGACAUAAGUAACGAUAAAGCGGGUGAAAAGCCCGCUCGCCGGAAGACCAAGGGUUCCUGUCCAACGUUAAUCGGGGCAGGGUGAGUCGACCCCUAAGGCGAGGCCGAAAGGCGUAGUCGAUGGGAAACAGGUUAAUAUUCCUGUACUUGGUGUUACUGCGAAGGGGGGACGGAGAAGGCUAUGUUGGCCGGGCGACGGUUGUCCCGGUUUAAGCGUGUAGGCUGGUUUUCCAGGCAAAUCCGGAAAAUCAAGGCUGAGGCGUGAUGACGAGGCACUACGGUGCUGAAGCAACAAAUGCCCUGCUUCCAGGAAAAGCCUCUAAGCAUCAGGUAACAUCAAAUCGUACCCCAAACCGACACAGGUGGUCAGGUAGAGAAUACCAAGGCGCUUGAGAGAACUCGGGUGAAGGAACUAGGCAAAAUGGUGCCGUAACUUCGGGAGAAGGCACGCUGAUAUGUAGGUGAAGUCCCUCGCGGAUGGAGCUGAAAUCAGUCGAAGAUACCAGCUGGCUGCAACUGUUUAUUAAAAACACAGCACUGUGCAAACACGAAAGUGGACGUAUACGGUGUGACGCCUGCCCGGUGCCGGAAGGUUAAUUGAUGGGGUCAGCGCAAGCGAAGCUCUUGAUCGAAGCCCCGGUAAACGGCGGCCGUAACUAUAACGGUCCUAAGGUAGCGAAAUUCCUUGUCGGGUAAGUUCCGACCUGCACGAAUGGCGUAAUGAUGGCCAGGCUGUCUCCACCCGAGACUCAGUGAAAUUGAACUCGCUGUGAAGAUGCAGUGUACCCGCGGCAAGACGGAAAGACCCCGUGAACCUUUACUAUAGCUUGACACUGAACAUUGAGCCUUGAUGUGUAGGAUAGGUGGGAGGCUUUGAAGUGUGGACGCCAGUCUGCAUGGAGCCGACCUUGAAAUACCACCCUUUAAUGUUUGAUGUUCUAACGUUGACCCGUAAUCCGGGUUGCGGACAGUGUCUGGUGGGUAGUUUGACUGGGGCGGUCUCCUCCUAAAGAGUAACGGAGGAGCACGAAGGUUGGCUAAUCCUGGUCGGACAUCAGGAGGUUAGUGCAAUGGCAUAAGCCAGCUUGACUGCGAGCGUGACGGCGCGAGCAGGUGCGAAAGCAGGUCAUAGUGAUCCGGUGGUUCUGAAUGGAAGGGCCAUCGCUCAACGGAUAAAAGGUACUCCGGGGAUAACAGGCUGAUACCGCCCAAGAGUUCAUAUCGACGGCGGUGUUUGGCACCUCGAUGUCGGCUCAUCACAUCCUGGGGCUGAAGUAGGUCCCAAGGGUAUGGCUGUUCGCCAUUUAAAGUGGUACGCGAGCUGGGUUUAGAACGUCGUGAGACAGUUCGGUCCCUAUCUGCCGUGGGCGCUGGAGAACUGAGGGGGGCUGCUCCUAGUACGAGAGGACCGGAGUGGACGCAUCACUGGUGUUCGGGUUGUCAUGCCAAUGGCACUGCCCGGUAGCUAAAUGCGGAAGAGAUAAGUGCUGAAAGCAUCUAAGCACGAAACUUGCCCCGAGAUGAGUUCUCCCUGAC
rnacentral:rRNA from 1 species